GACGAACGCUGGCGGCGUGCUUAACACAUGCAAGUCGAGCGGAAAGGCCCCUUCGGGGGUACUCGAGCGGCGAACGGGUGAGUAACACGUGAGUAAUCUGCCCUUCACUUUGGGAUAACCCCCGGAAACGGGAGCUAAUACCGGAUAUGACCACCGUCCGCAUGGGCCGGUGGUGGAAACUUUUUUGGGUGGGGGAUGUGCUCGCGGCCUAUCAGCUUGUUGGUGGGGUAAUGGCCUACCAAGGCUUUGACGGGUAGCCGGCCGGGGAGGGUGACCGGCCACACUGGGACUGAGACACGGCCCAGACUCCUACGGGAGGCAGCAGUGGGGAAUAUUGGACAAUGGGCGGAAGCCUGAUCCAGCAACGCCGCGUGAGGGAUGACGGCCUUCGGGUUGUAAACCUCUUUCAGCACCGACGAAGCGCAAGUGACGGUAGGUGCAGAAGAAGGACCGGCCAACUACGUGCCAGCAGCCGCGGUAAGAC
rnacentral:rRNA from 1 species